GGGCCCGCACAAGCGGUGGAGCAUGUGGUUUAAUUCGACGCAACGCGAAGAACCUUACCAGCUCUUGACAUUGCUAAGUCGCGAGUUUUAGAGAUAAAACUCUUCAGUUCGGCUGGACUUAGUACAGGUGCUGCAUGGCUGUCGUCAGCUCGUGUCGUGAGAUGUUGGGUUAAGUCCCGCAACGAGCGCAACCCUUGUCCUUAGUUGCCAGCAAUUCGGUUGGGCACUCUAGGGAGACUGCCGGUGAUAAACCGGAGGAAGGCGGGGAUGACGUCAAGUCCUCAUGGCCCUUACGGGCUGGGCUACACACGUGCUACAAUGGCGUCUACAAUGGGUCGCAAUAGGGCAACCUAAAGCUAAUCUCCAAAAGUUACCUCAGUUCGGAUUGUACUCUGCAACUCGAGUACAUGAAGUUGGAAUCGCUAGUAAUCG
rnacentral:rRNA from 1 species